rnacentral:rRNA from 1 species
UGGCUCAGGAUGAACGCUGGCGGCGUGCCUAAUACAUGCAAGUCGAGCGAAUGGAUUAAGAGCUUGCUCUUAUGAAGUUAGCGGCGGACGGGUGAGUAACACGUGGGUAACCUGCCCAUAAGACUGGGAUAACUCCGGGAAACCGGGGCUAAUACCGGAUAACAUUUUGCACCGCAUGGUGCGAAAUUCAAAGGCGGCUUCGGCUGUCACUUAUGGAUGGACCCGCGUCGCAUUAGCUAGUUGGUGAGGUAACGGCUCACCAAGGCAACGAUGCGUAGCCGACCUGAGAGGGUGAUCGGCCACACUGGGACUGAGACACGGCCCAGACUCCUACGGGAGGCAGCAGUAGGGAAUCUUCCGCAAUGGACGAAAGUCUGACGGAGCAACGCCGCGUGAGUGAUGAAGGCUUUCGGGUCGUAAAACUCUGUUGUUAGGGAAGAACAAGUGCUAGUUGAAUAAGCUGGCACCUGA